rnacentral:rRNA from 1 species
UAGGGAAUCUUCCGCAAUGGACGCAAGUCUGACGGAGCAACGCCGCGUGAGUGAAGAAGGAUUUCGGUUCGUAAAACUCUGUUGUUAGAGAAGAACAGCGCAUAGAGUAACUGUUAUGCGUGUGACGGUAUCUAACCAGAAAGCCACGGCUAACUACGUGCCAGCAGCCGCGGUAAUACGUAGGUGGCAAGCGUUGUCCGGAUUUAUUGGGCGUAAAGCGAGCGCAGGCGGUCAAUUAAGUCUGAUGUGAAAGCCCCCGGCUCAACCGGGGAGGGUCAUUGGAAACUGGUGGACUUGAGUGCAGAAGAGGGGAGGGGAAUUCCAUGGGUAGCGGUGAAAUGAGUAGAUAUAGGGAGGAACACCAGUGGCGAAGGCGACUCUCUGGUCUGUAACUGACGCUGAGGCUCGAAAGCGUGGGUAGCAAACAGG